UAAAUCUCCGUGAUGUACUUCAAAAUUUUGUUAGCGACCGUUACACUAUUCUUAUGGAGUUUUUCUUCAUCAGAGGCUCUAAACUGUAUAAAUUGCCAUGGCAGUUCAGCUGCUUGUCGAAAGGGAAGUGUUACUUACACACAACCAUGUACGGCGAAUGGUUCGUAUUCUGAAGCGUUCUGUUUCUCGGCGGAAACGGUAAACGGUUACGUUUUAAGAGGGUGCGCUUCUAAGCAAGGGACAGGUACGUUGUGCGAGAUUUUAGAAAGGUUCAAUAGGGCAUACACUAAUUGCAAGUCAUGUUCACGUGAUAUGUGUAAUUCAUUUAAUUACGGAAGCUAGACAUUUUCUCCUUAGCCUGAUGUAGUGACUGUAUUUUGAACUAAGAUCACCUAAAUAAAACUAAUGACGUGGUCUUG